UACGUAGGGUGCAAGCGUUGUCCGGAAUUAUUGGGCGUAAAGAGCUCGUAGGCGGUCUGUUGCGUCGGCUGUGAAAACCCGGGGCUCAACUCCGGGCCUGCAGCCGAUACGGGCAGACUAGAGUUCGGCAGGGGAGACUGGAAUUCCUGGUGUAGCGGUGGAAUGCGCAGAUAUCAGGAGGAACACCAAUAGCGAAGGCAGCUCGCUGGGACGGUACUGACACUAAGGCGCGAAAGCGUGGGGAGCGAACAGG
rnacentral:rRNA from 1 species